AUUGAACGCUGGCGGCAGGCCUAACACAUGCGAGUCGAGCGGAUGACGGGAGCUUGCUCCUUGAUUCAGCGGCGGACGGGUGAGUAAUGCCUAGGAAUCUGCCUGAUAGUGGGGGACAACGUUUCGAAAGGAACGCUAAUACCGCAUACGUCCUACGGGAGAAAGCAGGGGACCUUCGGGCCUUGCGCUAUCAGAUGAGCCUAGGUCGGAUUAGCUAGUUGGGGGGGUAAUGGCUCACCAAGGCGACGAUCCGUAACUGGUCUGAGAGGAUGAUCAGUCACACUGGAACUGAGACACGGUCCAGACUCCUACGGGAGGCAGCAGUGGGGAAUAUUGGACAAUGGGCGAAAGCCUGAUCCAGCCAUGCCGCGUGUGUGAAGAAGGUCUUCGGAUUGUAAAGCACUUUAAGUUGGGAGGAAGGGCAGUAAGUUAUUACCUUGCUGUUUUGACGUUACCGACAGAAUAAGCACCGGCUAACUCUGUGCCAGCCGCCGCAGUAAAAC
rnacentral:rRNA from 1 species